UACGUAGGGGGCUAGCGUUGUCCGGAAUCAUUGGGCGUAAAGCGCGCGUAGGUGGCCACAUAAGUCCGUUGUGAAAGUCAAAGGCUCAACCUUUGAAAGCCGAUGGAUACUGUGUGGCUAGAGUACGGAAGAGGCGAGUGGAAUUCCUGGUGUAGCGGUGGAAUGCGCAGAUAUCAGGAGGAACACCAAUAGCGAAGGCAGCUCGCUGGGACGUUACUGACACUGAGGCGCGAAAGCGUGGGGAGCGAACAGG
rnacentral:rRNA from 1 species